CAAAUGAUCUUCAGUGAUUGUGAACUAAUCGAUUCAAUUCUCACAUUAUUUGGAGCCUCUCCUGGUGCUAUUAGAACAAUUAUCCAAUCAUCAAAAUAUUAUUUUAGUUUCCCAACGAAUUGUUAUUAUUUCAUCUGAUGGAUCACUCCGACCGAAAGUAUUCUGAGCUAGAACUCGAAUUCGAUAAAUUGUCUCUGGUAAAAGGCCAGUUAUCAAGGCGGUACAUUCUUUAGGAUUAACCGAUGUUGUCUCAAACGAAUUGGUCCAAAUACCUUUAAUGAUAAUAAUCGUCACCAAUGGAGACAGAAAAAAAAGUAAAUGAGAUGAUAAUCAUCAAGUGAUUAAUGAAUUUUAUAAUCAAGAAUUGGACUGUUACCAUCAUCAGGAGCUUCCCAGGCAAUGGUCACAUCGCGACUCGCCACUUCAACGGAACGUAAAUUACGAGGAGAUCGAGGUGAACCUUGGACAAUUAGAUGGAUCGUUUUUUC